UGGGGAAUAUUGGACAAUGGGGGAAACCCUGAUCCAGCGACGCCGCGUGUGUGAAGAAGGCCUGCGGGUUGUAAAGCACUUUCGAUGGGAACGAAAUGUGUCGGGCUAAUACCCCGGCAAGCUGACGUUACUCAAUGAAGAAGCACCGGCUAACUCUGUGCCAGCAGCCGCGGUAAUACAGAGGGUGCAAGCGUUAAUCGGAAUUACUGGGCGUAAAGCGCACGUAGGUGGCGACGUAAGUCGGGUGUGAAAGCCCCGGGCUCAACCUGGGAAUUGCAUUCGAGACUGCAUUGCUGGAGUACGGAAGAGGAGGGCGGAAUUCCCGGUGUAGCGGUGAAAUGCGUAGAUAUCGGGAGGAACAUCAGUGGCGAAGGCGGCCCUCUGGUCCAGUACUGACACUCAAGUGCGAAAGCGUGGGGAGCAAACAGG
rnacentral:rRNA from 1 species